rnacentral:lncRNA from 1 species
UUCUCAAUAUAUGCUCUUCUAGAAACUUUAGUAAGGCUAUUCAUAUAGUUGAAUAGUUUCUCUAUAAUCAAUGUUUCUUCCUGCUCCUGGGUGGGUAGGUCUUAUCUACCAUCCAUUUUCUCCAAAACAUAGUGAAUGGAUACUUAAUGCCUGUGAUAGAGUCCUGAUAUUUCCAGAAGUAUACAUUCCUGGAGUUGUCUAUAAGUGGGCAUGAGGCAUCUUUCAGCCAGCGUUGUUUACCUGAGAUGGUUCACUAUACUUGGUCAGUUGUUCAGUAUUAUAUCCCUAGAUGAAUGGUCCAUAAUUUCUCUGAUUUCAAAUUAUUAAUUAUCUCUUUUACUUGUUACUAUAUUUAUUUAUUAGGUCAUAUAUUACAUCCAGAGCACAGUUUCCCCUCCCUCCUUAACCCUCUACUUCCCCCAUCCAUCCUUCACCUUCUCCUUCCCCAUCCACUCCUCCUCAGUUCCCUUCAGAACAAGGCAGGCUUUCCAAGGAUCUCGAACAACCAUGGGAUGUUUGCAUCAUUGUUGCAAGAAGAUUAGGCAGUCCCUUCAUAUUAAGGCUGGCUGAGGCAACCCAGGGUGAGGACAUGGGUCCCCUAAGCAGGCAUAGGCAUCAGAAACAGCCCUGCUCUCUCAUUAAGAGUCCCACAAAAAAACACCAAGCUAUACAACUGUAAUGUUUAUACAUAGAGCCAAAGACAGACCCAUGCAGGAACCCUGAUUGUUAUUUCAGUCUCUACGAGACCCUAUGGCCCAGGUUUGUUGCUGUUGUGGGUUUCCUUGUGGUGUCCUUGACCCUUUUGGCUCCUAAAAUCAUUCGUCCUCCUCUUCAGCAGGAUUCCCUGAACUCUGCCUAAUGUUUGGUUAUGGGUCUCUGCAUCUGUUUACAUCAGUUGCUGUCUUGAGUUAGGUACUGACCUAUGAGGAUAGCAGAAUACCAUUAGGCGUUAGGCAUCAUUUCACUGACUUCUUUUCUCUAGCUGUGUUUGGCUCUAUCCUAGGUCUCUGGGCAAUCCAGCCUCUGGUUUUUGAGCUUACAGUAAAAGUGAGGGAUGAGCUCCCUUUGGUGACAUGGGUCUCAGGCUGAACCUGUGAGUAGUUAGCCCCUUCCAGAACUUCUGUGCUGCCUUUACCCCAGCACAUCAUGCUGGCAGGACACAUUGUACGACGAAGGUUUAGGGGCUGGGUUGAUAUUCCAGUCUCUUUACUGGAAGUCUUGCCUGGUUAUAGGAGAAGGUCAGUUCAGGCUAGAUAAUGUCUACCUAGUAGAUUCCUGGAGACAACUGGAAUUGUGUGGCAAUUAAAGGGCAAGGUACAAACCAACUUGGAAUGGUAACUCCCAGGAAUCUUUGAGGGUACAAUAGAAACUCCCAGGAAUCUAUUAGGAACCCUAGCUAAUUGUCUUUUAAAAAUUACUUUUAACUAUGUGGAUGUGAGUACAGCAUUUUCCAAGGCCAAAGGUAUCAGAUUCCUGGAACUGUAGGUACAGAUGGUUGUGAGCCCCUGAUGUGGGUGCUGGCACUCAAACUCAGAUCAUCUGAAAGAGCAAGCAGUACAUGCUCUUACCAGCUGAGCCAUCCCUCCAGUCCAUACUGGUUGUCUUUUGUCAUGAGAUUUUAGCCUACAAAGAUAAAACACAAGACUGUAGAGCACUGAAUAUCUUAGAAAAUUCUUCAGGAACCACAGCCAAAGCUAGGCCACCAGGAACUGAGAGAGACUCUCCCACAGAAUCUCAGUUCUGUUCUAAUAACUAAGCAAGUGCUUGGACACAAGGAGUCAGAGACUACAUGAAGUAGCGGAGGAGUGCAGGUCUAAAGGUGAGACAGGACAGCAUACCAGCAUUUACCUGGGUCAAUGUAAUUUUUUAAGGUCUAGAAAGAAACAUUGUUCUAGAUUAUGAAAGUUAUAAAAUUUAAAAAAAAACUUGAUAUCCCAAAUUCAAUAGAUUGUGUUUAAUUAAGUAUAACAACAAGAACAAUCAAUUGAUAGCAAUUAGAAAACACUUAGAGAUGUUUCAGUAGUCAGUGGAUAUUUGUCUAUAUUUGAUAAUUAUUGCUAACUUCAUCAAGCAUGAAAAGGGCUGUGGAGGAUCAUGUUGGAUAGAUAUAUUGGUACUGAUGAAUACUGAGACAUUCCUGAACACAUUCAGUUUAUUGUGAAGUGACUCAUCAAGGGGGAGGGAGGUGAUGAAAGAAAAUCAGAAUAGAAUAAACAACUAAGACAAAAAUUUUGAAUUUUUCAUCCAGUUGAUUGUACUAUGGGUGCUCCAUUAUGCCAAGCUUUGUAUUUUAUUAUGCAUUUGAAAAUUCUCACAUAAAUAGUUUUUAUACUAUAUAUAUGUAUAUACACAUAUAUACAUAUAUAUGUGUGUGUGUAUACACAUAUAUAUGUAGAUAGAUAGAUAGAUAGAUAGAUAGAUAGAUAGAUAGAUAGAUAGAUAGAUAGGCAGAUAGACAGACAGACAGACAGACAGACAGCAUGUCCAAAAAACAGAGAAAAAUAAAACAAAAAAACUAGGAGUGGACAAAGCAAUCUCAUUGUGUGCCUUUCUCCCCCUUACAGUUUAAUUGCCUUUGUAAUUUUGGAUUGGUAAUCGGGAAAAUCUGAGUCCUGCCUGUUUUUUUUGUUUUUUGUUUUUUUGGUUUUUUUUUUCCUAGAAAGUAAGAUUAAGAGAACAAACAAAAGAAAUUUUACUUUUCAUGUUUUUUUUCAAUAUUACUUUAUUUAGUACAGAUUCAUAUGUAGUUCAGUUUUAUCUCUAAUGACUAUAUUAAAGCAUUAUACAAAAUUCUUUGAGUUAAUCAUGAUUAGCCUUUUACCCCCCAAAUUAUUUAUGUUUCUCUGAAGUAUAAGCAGCCCUGAAAUAUGAUAGGACAGAUACAUGGUCUGAAAGAAAUGACUUCAUACAAAAUGCCAUCUGGCUACAAUGAAUGUGCC